UGGGGAUCUAGCUCAGUUGGUGGAGUGCUUGCCUUGCAUGCACAAGGCCCUGGGUUCAAUGCCCAGCACUAA
rnacentral:tRNA from 1 species